rnacentral:rRNA from 1 species
ACAUGCCUACAACAUAGCGUUAAUGCACUAGAUCCCAUUAGAAAUCUGUAGUUAAGCGUGCUCAGUAUAGAGUAGUACUGGGAUGGGUGACCGCUUAAGAAGUCCUAGUGUUUUGCAUGCC